rnacentral:rRNA from 1 species
GAUGAACGCUAGCGGCAGGCUUAACACAUGCAAGUCGAGGGGUAUAGUUCUUCGGAGCUAGAGACCGGCGCACGGGUGCGUAACGCGUAUGCAAUCUGCCUUUUGCAGAGGGAUAGCCCAGAGAAAUUUGGAUUAAUACCUCAUAGUAUGUGAGAACGGCAUCAUUUUCACAUUAAAGUCACAACGGCAAAAGAUGAGCAUGCGUCCCAUUAGCUUGUUGGUAAGGUAACGGCUUACCAAGGCAACGAUGGGUAGAGGUCCUGAGAGGGAGAUCCCCCACACUGGUACUGAGACACGGACCAGACUCCUACGGGAGGCAGCAGUGAGGAGUAUUGGACAAUGGGCGCAAGCCUGAUCCAGCCAUGCCGCGUGCAGGAUGACGGUCCUAUGGAUUGUAAACUGCUUUUGUACAGGAAGAAACACUGGUUCGUGAACCAGCUUGACGGUACUGUAAGAAUAAGGAUCGGCUAACUCCGUGCCAGCAGCCGCCGUAAAAC